CAUGAAGAACAGCUGGUAUCAGAGAGCCUUACACAAGCAGUGGGUGCAGCUGUGCUUUUGUAUAGCAACAGUAUUUCAGACUUGACAUGUCUGAACAGGCUAAUAUGACCCUAUGCUAUCAGAGGAUUGCUUUCUAAUUUAGAAAGUCACAGCAUUGCAUACUGGAGUGUAUAGUCCACUGCUCUGAGCCUGUAAGCUUCUAUUAACAGAGCAAGUAAUUAAAAUAUUUAGAUUAGUGU